GGUGUGUGUGUGUGUGUGUGUGUGUAUGUGUGUGCGCGCUCGGGGGCAGCUUGCUCUCACUUACCAUCUUGCUCACAUCCAUGACCGAGGCUGCAGGGCGCCCCCCACCCCCGGAGACCUCGCGUUCCCCAAGUGCUGUUCCGGGCUACUGCAGAGCCGAUGCCAUGCCGCAGGGAGCUCGACCUGGAGGCCCCCACGGCCGGAGCGGGCAGCAGGACCCGGCGCGGCGGGGCGGGGCACUGGGCGGGGAGGGAGAGGGGCGUGUGGAGCCGCAGCACAGGCGGGGGCGAGGAGGAGCACGGGCACCCCCGCGAUUGCUAGCUGCGGGGGUGGGGGGUGCACGCAGGCCCAAAGAAGAUCCCCGGACACGGCGCCCCAGCGCUGUUCCAGGGUGUGAUUUGAAUAACAAAAGGUCGCUUCUCCCCCGAACCCUGGUGGCUGGGAUCGGCGAGCCAAGAGCAGGAGGCCGCCUGCCCGCCAGGAAAGAAGCACAUACACAUACUGCCUGUUCUGCGAAGUCUUCUCGGGCAAUGUCAGCCUCCUCAAAGUAUACAAUCUGGAUCUCUCCUGGGAUAACUGGACCCUUGGAGGGCAGGAUCCUGGUCUGAUUCCAAGCUCUGCCCCAGAUCUGGCCUGAGUGGUGUUCUGGGAAGUGAAGGUUUCUGCAUCACCAUGCAGAACGGCAGGACCCAGAAUGGGCUCCUACCUUCGCUGAGCCUGUUUUCUGGAG
rnacentral:lncRNA from 1 species